UUCAUAAACUAUUCAUUUUAUAAAAAAAAUUAACCAAGCCUAGCAAAACUUAUGGGACGAAGUACAGGUAAGAACGUGCACGGGUCAGAAUUAGUGCAAGUCAGAAAACGGUGACGGAUUCAUGAUUUUAUUCUAAUGAGUUCCUUUUGGUAUUUUUUUUUUAAUUCUCAUUAUUUUUUUCUAAAUUCUAUAAGGUUCUCGCUAUUUUUUUUCCAUUUUUUCUAAACGCACUGGGUUCUUAAGAACCCACAAAUGUGGGCUGGAUCCGCCCCUAUCAGAAAGAGCUUUUAACAAAUUGGGUUUGUGUCAAUAUGUAUCAUUUUACAAGAUAUCAUUUUGGUUUGUGUCAAUCGGGUUAUGAUCAGAAUAGACUCGAGUAAACAAUCGACAACAAUGUGAUGGAAUGGUGACGGGUGUGAUGAUGGUGGACAUAGCUAUGGGGCUAAUUGUGACGAUGGGUGUGGUGAUGGUGUCGGUGGUAACGACGUUGGUGGUGAAGUGGCUAUAGGCCCACGGCUAUGGGUUUGUGGUGUGAUGUUGGUGUCGGUGUCGACGACGAUAAGUAUUACCUAAAGCAAUUAUAUUCUUUGGACUCAACAUGACAAGUGGAGAUGAAGGAGGAAAGGGGCCAUGUUAUUUUUAAUGCUUAAUAUAACCUAAUAUAAGAAAAACAAUGUAUUUUAUUUUAUGUUAAAUCGCAAAACUUAA
rnacentral:lncRNA from 1 species